CACAAGUUUUAGAAGCGUAAAAGAUUUUUGUAGAACUUGAAAAAAUUCUAGUGAACACCAUACACAUUUUGGAGAAAAGCUGCCUUUCAAUCUAGUUCAAUCGUGAAGAAGAGGCUAAAAGUUGUUUCUAAAGAAAGCCACCUUUCAAUUCAAAUCAAUUGCAGAAAGGAGGUCAAAAUUGUUUCAGGAGCAAAUCACCAUGACACUUAAAGUAGAUUCAACUAUCCAAAAUCAAGUCUCAGAGACCCUUGAAUCUAAUCAAAUCAAAUUAUCAAGAAUCUCACCAAACUCGACUUCAAGAUCAAGUCUCGAUGACCCUUGAAGCAACUGCAUCCUUUCAAGAUCAAGUCAGAUGAACCUUGGAUCAAAGCUUAAACUAAAGAGAAGAAUCAAAAGAGUUUUCUUUGUAAAGAAAUCCAAAGAUUGUAAUCUCUUUUCAAAAUUAUUAAUAAAAUUGACUUUAAAUUUUCA
rnacentral:lncRNA from 1 species